rnacentral:rRNA from 1 species
UGCAGUCGAACGAUACCAGAGAGCUUGCUUUCUGGAAAAGUGGCGCACGGGUGCGUAACGCGUAUGCAACCUACCUUUAUCAGGGGGAUAGCCUCUCGAAAGAGAGAUUAACACCGCAUAAAAUCACAAGCUGGCAUCAGCAAAUGAUCAAAUAUUUAUAGGAUAAAGAUGGGCAUGCGUGACAUUAGUUUGUUGGUGAGGUAACGGCUCACCAAGACUACGAUGUCUAGGGGAUCUGAGAGGAUGACCCCCCACACUGGUACUGAGACACGGACCAGACUCCUACGGGAGGCAGCAGUAAGGAAUAUUGGUCAAUGGGGGCAACCCUGAACCAGCCAUGCCGCGUGCAGGAAGACGGCCCUAUGGGUUGUAAACUGCUUUUAUACCGGAAUAAACCCCCGAUCGUGAUCGGGGCUGAAUGUACGGUAAGAAUAAGGAUCGGCUAACUCCGUGCCAGCAGCCGCGGUAAUACGGAGGAUCCAAGCGUUAUCCGGAUUUAUUGGGUUUAAAGGGUGCGUAGGCGGCCUGUUAAGUCAGGGGUGAAAGACGGUGGCUCAACCAUCGCAGUGCCUUUGAUACUGACGGGCUUGAAUACACUUGAGGUAGGCGGAAUGUGACAAGUAGCGGUGAAAUGCAUAGAUAUGUCACAGAACACCGAUUGCGAAGGCAGCUUACUAAGGUGCAAUUGACGCUGAGGCACGAAAGCGUG